AUGCAUGAUGGACUGUAUUAUCUGGAUAAUAAUAUGCCACCUGUGGUUGCAGCUGUUGCGUCCCUUUCACCACUUGACGAAUUCCUUCUUCACCACCGCAGGCUAGGACAUAUGUCUUUUGUCACCCUUGGUAGGCUUUAUCCUGCUCUUUAUAGUAAAGUUAACCAGGGGAGUCUAGUAUGUGACGCUUGUCAAUAUGGUAAACAAACACGUAGCUCCUAUACAUCGUCUGAUAAUAGAAGUGACACGCCACUUCAAGUUAUACAUUCUGAUGUGUGGGGUCCUAGUGGAGUUUCAUCUUUAAAUGGAUAUCGCUCGUUUGUUACCUUUAUUGACUGUUGUACUAGAGUGACUUGGGUUUAUGUGUUGAAGAACAAGAACGAUGUGUUUGAAUGCUUUGUUGAUUUUCAUAAUAUGAUCAGAACGCAAUAUAAUGCUUGUGUGAAAACAUUUCGCACUAAUAAUGGCACAGAGUAUGUGAACAAGGAAUUUAAUGAGUACUUAUCCAGUUUUGGGAUUAUUCAUCACACAACUUGUCCAGGUACUUCAGAGCAGAAUGGUUUGGCAGAAAGGAAGAAUAGACAUCUUCUGGAAAUCACUCGUUGCAUAAUGAUAUCUAUGAAUGUUCCUAAGUUUUUGUGGGGUGAAGCUGUAAUGACAGCUGCUUACUUGAUGAAUAGAAUGCCAUCCAGGGUACUUGGUUAUAAAACACCGUUAGAGUGUCUAACGGGUGAAACAAAAUAUGUGGUUCCACCUAAGGUCUUUGGGUGUGUUUGUUUUGUGAAGGAUUACAGACCAUCUGUUGGCAAGCUAGAUCCAAAGGCGUUAAAGUGUGUAUUCGUGGGGUACUCUGGUAAGCAGAAGGGAUAUAAAUGUUGGUGUCCAUCUGAAAGGAGAAUGUUUGUGAGUAUGGAUGUGGUAUUUAGGGAGCAGGAACCAUUCUAUGGUGAACCGACGGAUUUAACUGAUGUCUUCCCUGAUUUGUUUGCUAAUGAAAAUUUAGAUGCAGAUUGUGAGACAGGGGGAGAUAAGGAAGAGGAAGAUGAUGCAACAUCAAGAAAGAUGAUAGUUGGGGUAAUUCCAGUGGAAACAGAGCAAGAACGAAGACAUGAGCAGCAGUAUGAUACAUCAAGUGAAGCAUUCCGGUGGCCAAAACCAAAUGAGGAAAGGGGGAUUCAGGUGUAUACACGAAGACGUCGUAUUGAGGAGGAAAGGACGCAAGUGUUGGAACCUGAGCCCGAGGCUUAUGGGCAACAUGGUGAGCAAGAGAAGGAGGCUGACCAACAAGAUAAUACUCAAGUUCAAACUAGUGAUACUGGACCUUCCUUGGACAGUGCUAACAUCUCUUCUCAAUAUGAUGACCUUGAUGUCCCAAUAGCUUAUAGAAAGCAACCACGAGCUAGUGCCAGAAAAUUGCCCUCUAAAUUGGAUCCUUAUAAUGUCUCCAACUAUGUCUCUUAUGACAUUGUUGGUCCUUCUUACAAGUCCUUUAUUGCAGCGCUGGAUUCUGCAGAACCCUUACCACGGGACUGGCAGGAGGCAAAAUUAAACCCAAAGUGGAGGGCAGCAAUGCUUGAGGAGAUGUCUGCUCUCGACAAGAAUAAUACAUGGGGAAUGAUGAUGUGGAGAUAA
rnacentral:rRNA from 1 species